UACGGAAGGGGCAAGCGUUGUUCGGAAUCAUUGGGCGUAAAGGGCGCGUAGGUGGUCUUGUAUGUCUAUCGUGAAAGCACACGGCUUAACCGUGUAAAGUCGGUGGAAACUGCAGGACUUGAGGUUGGGAGGGGCUGGUGGAAUUCCCUGUGUAGCGGUGAAAUGCGUAGAGAUGGGGGAGAACACUUGUGGCGAAGGCGGCCAGCUGGACCAAUCCUGAACACUGAGGCGCGACAGCGUGGGGAACAAACAGG
rnacentral:rRNA from 1 species